AUGCCAGAGUUUCCGCCUGCCUCACCUGUGGCUCAGGUCCACUCCACCUAUUGCCUCUUCCUCCUGCUGCAUGGGCUUCCAGCCUGGCUUCUGGGCACUGCUCUGCACUGCCUGGGCUCACACAGGAAAAGAUCACUCCGCCCCCUCCACAGUGCCUGGAUGUCUCUUGGCUCACAACCUCAGAAAACGAGGGUAUACAGCGUCUGCAGGGGACACUCCCAGUCUUGGAACAAUCACCAAAAGGGGCAGAGACUGUUUGCUUUAAGAAACUUGGUAGGAAAAGUUACAGGAGACAAAUGGAAAGGACAUAUGAAGUCAGACCAAAAAACUGAGGAAAAACUUUAAUGACAACUCAAGAUCUGACAAAGAUUGUACAAGAGCAAGCAGUAGAAUCAAAAUGUCUUUGCUCAUGGUAUCCACAAUGUUCUUCUUGCAUUUAAAUUUCUUCAAGUAAAAAGAAAUAUAUUCAUUCUUUGCUCAUUAUGGUCCCAGCAGAUAGUACUUAUAUUUCUUACUAAAACUCUUCAAGUAGUGCAAAAAAGAAGAUGGACUGAGAAAAACCAAGCCAUAAAAGUGUUAUCUAUCAGCAGUUUUGUUAAAAAGCCAUCAUUAAGAAAGAAAAAAUGUAAAUUGUAGAAAUGAGGUCACAAUUUAAUUGAUAUAAAUUGCAGCCACCUGCUCAUCCCAUUUCCAGGAGAAAGAGUUUUAUGUAUGCAAUAAAGCAAUUUCUUUAGGAGAAA
rnacentral:lncRNA from 1 species